rnacentral:rRNA from 1 species
CAAUAGCGUAUAUUAAAGUUGUUGCAGUUAGAACGCUCGUAGUCGGAUUUCGGGGCGGGCCGACCGGUCUGCCGAUGGGUACGCACUGGUCGGCGCGUCCUUCCUUCCGGAGACCGUGCCUACUCUUAACUGAGCGGGGGCGGGAGACGGAUCGUUUACUUUGAAAAAAUCAGAGUGUUUCAAGCAGGCAGCUCGCUCUUGCAUGGAUUAGCAUGGGAUAAUGAAAUAGGACUUUGGUGCUAUUUUGUUGGUUUCGAACACCGAAGUAAUGAUUAACAGGGACAGUCAGGGGCACUCAUAUUCCGCCGAGAGAGGUGAAAUUCUCAGACCAGCGGAAGACGAACUACUGCGAAAGCAUUUGCCAGGGAUGUUUUCACUGA